UGGGGAAUAUUGCACAAUGGGCGCAAGCCUGAUGCAGCCAUGCCGCGUGUGUGAAGAAGGCCUUCGGGUUGUAAAGCACUUUCAGCGGGGAGGAAGGCGGUGAGGUUAAUAACCUCACCGAUUGACGUUACCCGCAGAAGAAGCACCGGCUAACUCCGUGCCAGCAGCCGCGGUAAUACGGAGGGUGCAAGCGUUAAUCGGAAUUACUGGGCGUAAAGCGCACGCAGGCGGUCUGUCAAGUCGGAUGUGAAAUCCCCGGGCUCAACCUGGGAACUGCAUUCGAAACUGGCAGGCUAGAGUCUUGUAGAGGGGGGUAGAAUUACAGGUGUAGCGGUGAAAUGCGUAGAGAUCUGGAGGAAUACCGGUGGCGAAGGCGGCCCCCUGGACAAAGACUGACGCUCAGGUGCGAAAGCGUGGGGAGCAAACAGG
rnacentral:rRNA from 1 species